rnacentral:rRNA from 1 species
CCUACGUGAAGCUGCAGUGGGGAAUAUUGGGCAAUGGGCGCAAGCCUGACCCAGCAACGCAGCGUGAAGGAAGAAGGCUUUCGGGUUGUAAACUUCUUUUAUCAGGGACGAAGCAAGUGACGGUACCUGAUGAAUAAGCCACGUCUAACUACGUGCCAGCCGCCGCGGCAAUACGUAGUGGGCAAGCGUUAUCCGGAUUAACUGGGUGUAAAAGGCGUGUAGGCGGGAGUGCAAGUCAGAUGUGAAAACUAUGGGUUCAACCCCUAGCCUGCACUUGAAACUGUACUUCUUGAGUGCUGGAGAGGCAGGAGGAAUUCCUAGGGUAGCGGUGAAAUGCGUAGAUAUUAGGAGGAACACCAGUGGCGAAGGCGGCCUGCUGGACGACAACUGACGGUGAGGCGCGAAAGCGUGGGGAGCAAACAGGAUUAGAUACCCCAGUAGUC